AAUAGAUACCCGGUAGUCCAUGCCGUAAACGUUGGGAACUAGAUGUGGGGACCAUUCCACGGUCUCCGUGUCGCAGCUAACGCAUUAAGUUCCCCGCCUGGGGAGUACGGCCGCAAGGCUAAAACUCAAAGGAAUUGACGGGGGCCCGCACAAGCGGCGGAGCAUGCGGAUUAAUUCGAUGCAACGCGAAGAACCUUACCAAGGCUUGACAUAUACGAGAACGCUGCAGAAAUGUAGAACUCUUUGGACACUCGUAUACAGGUGGUGCAUGGUUGUCGUCAGCUCGUGUCGUGAGAUGUUGGGUUAAGUCCCGCAACGAGCGCAACCCUCGUCGUAUGUUGCCAGCACGUAAUGGUGGGAACUCAUAUGAGACUGCCGGGGUCAACUCGGAGGAAGGUGGGAUGAGGUCAAAUCAUCAUGCCCCUUAUGUCUUGGGCUUCACGCAUGCUACAAUGGCCGGUACAAAGGGCUGCGAUACCGCAAGGUGGAGCGAAUCCCAAAAAGCCGGUCUCAGUUCGGA
rnacentral:rRNA from 1 species